rnacentral:rRNA from 1 species
UCGAGGAUCUUCGUCAAUGGGCGAAAGCCUGAACGAGCGACGCCGCGUGCGCGAUGAAGGCCUUCGGGUUGUAAAGCGCGAAAGUGGGGACGAAGCCGAAAGGUUGACCGAUCCACAGUAAGCUCGGGCUAAGUUCGUGCCAGCAGCCGCGGUAAGACGAACCGAGCGAACGUUGUUCGGAAUCACUGGGCUUAAAGGGCGCGUAGGCGGGCAUCAUAGUCUGUGGUGAAAUCCGGCAGCUUAACUGUCGAAUUGCCAUGGAUACUGGGUGUCUCGAGGGAGGCAGGGGUGCGCGGAACUAAUGGUGGAGCGGUGAAAUGCGUUGAUAUCAUUAGGAACUCCGGUGGCGAAGGCGGCGCACUGGUCCUUUUCUGACGCUGAGGCGCGAAAGCCAGGGGAGCAAACG